UCACUUUAGGAUGAGCCCGCGGUGCAUUAUCUACUUGGUGGGGUAAAGGCCUACCUACGCAAUGAUGCGUAGCCGAGUUGAGAGACUGAUCGGCCACAUUGGGACUGAGACACGGCCCAAACUCUUACGGGAGGCAGCAGUAGGGAAUCUUCCACACUGGACGAUAGUCUGAUGGAGCAACGCCGCGUGAGUGAAGAAUGUCUUCGGAUCGUAAAGCCCUGUUGUUGGUGAAGAAGGAUAGAGGCAGUAUCUGGUCUUUAUUUGACGGUAAUCCACCAGAAAGUCUCGGCUAACUACGUGCCAGCAGCCGCGGUAAUACGUACGUGGCAAGCGAUUGUCCAGAUGUUAUUGUGCGUAAAGAGAGUGCACGCGGUUUCUCUCGUCUGAUGUGAAAGCCUUCUGCUUAACCGGAGAAGUGCAUCGGACACUGGAUAACUUGACUGCACAAGAUGGUAGAGGAACUCCAUGUGCAUCGGUGGAAUGCGUAGAUAU
rnacentral:rRNA from 1 species